GAUAAGAAAGGGAAUAAAACCCCUGUAAAUAGGACUACAACCUAC
rnacentral:tRNA from 1 species